rnacentral:rRNA from 1 species
AACGAACGCUGGCGGCAGGCCUCAUACAUGCAAGUCGAGCGAUUAAGACUCCUUCGGGAGUGUAUAAAGCGGCGAACGGGUGAGUAACAGGUGGAUGAUCUACCUUCCGGUGGGGGAUAACGGCUGGAAACGGCCGCUAAUACCGCAUUCGGUUAAUACGCUGUGGCGUAUUAAAGAAAGGCGCCUCAAAGCGCCGCCGGGAGAUGAGUCCGCCCCCCAUUAGCUAGUUGGUGAGAUAACAGCUCACCAAGGCAACGAUGGGUAGCCGAACUGAGAGGUUGAUCGGCCACACUGGAACUGAGACACGGUCCAGACACCUACGGGUGGCAGCAGUAGGGAAUAUUGGGCAAUGGGCGAAAGCCUGACCCAGCCAUGCCGCGUGAGUGAUGAAGGUCCUAGAGAUUGUAAAACUCUUUCUGAGGAAGAAUGAAUAGGGAAGGAAAUGUCCUUAUUUUGACGGUACCUCAGGAAUAAGGAACGGCUAACUCCGUGCCAGCAGCCGCGGUAAA